CUAGGCCUUCCACUGCUCACGAAUGAAAUAUCAGAGUCAGCGAUGGAGGACUCGUACGAUCUGUAACUUCCUCCUCUACCAGGUCUUGUGAAGGGUGAUCUGUCAACAGAAUAUCAAGUUAGUCCUCUCAAUUGGUCGAGAUCAAGCAAACUCGUUUGAAUUAGUGUUUGCUGAAUAGGGAAUUCUUACCUUACAAGACCACUCCUUGAAGGUGCCCCAAGUACCAGAAGCUCGAUGGCGUAUUUAGAAAUACCUUCUAUUAAUCCCUUGCUUAUAUCUACGUCAUCCAAAGACCCGAAACGAAGCGAAAAGUUCUUUAGAUUCGUUGUCCAUCUGUUGCAUGUAUGCUCUAGCCACAUCGUCGUUGCCAUCAAGAGAUAUUGUCACAAAAUUGGCCUUCCAUAUUUCAGACAAAUACAUAUAGGCAUAGAGCAAUCAAUUAUAUGAAAUGUAGGUUCGACGAUUACUUGGUGUAGGAAUGGAAGAUGCUCU